GAUGAAGAACAGAUGCUUCUCCCUGAAAAAUGUCUUAGCAAUCCAGACGGAUAGUUUCGGAGUUCUUUAGAGGAAAAAACCCCGAUGGAGUUCUUGUAUUUUCUUGUUUCUUGCAGUUGCCGUUCCACAGACGUGUCUUUGUGGUAACUUACAGCCAGAUGAUGAAGAUGUGACAGUUUUAACUUCUACAGAGGAUUCUUCCUCCGAGUGCUUCCAAGGUAUUUUGGCUUGAAAAGCUUGAAGAAUAUUCAAGUCAGCUUCCAGAAGUGGUUGUCCCAAGUUCAAGUCCCAGGACCACCAAGCUGCCUCUGUUGGGCCCUUGAGCAAGACCCUGAAACUGCUGAGUUGUAUAAAAUGAGAUAAAAUAGAAACCGGAAACUUCUCUGUUCUGAAGCUGAUAAACUUCACAUGGCGCUGUUCCUGCUGUUAUGAGGCACUUACAAAUUGCAUAACCACAUGAACAGAGUAUAUAACAUAUACUUUGUUUCAUCAACACUUUUAAAAGUUUCUUUAUUAUCAGUCUUAUUAGAUGUGGAAAAUGUGCUGUGAAGGUCCCUGGGUGUGAGCUGUUACUCCAAAAAGAAACAAUACCACAUUUUGAACUAGCGCAUUAAUAUGAAUUUAUGCUAAUUAUGUUAUUAUCUUCAUGUCCUCCAUGUUACAGCCCAGAUUAGCAAACCAUGCAGACCAUCUGACCAAUCAGAUUCAAGAAUUCCAUCCUGCUGUACUAAUUUGUUCCAUUUUUGAACUGUGUCUAUACAUUUAAACUUGUCAGGUUCCAGCUGAUGUGAUUCAUUAAGUAAACAGUCUAUGUUUAAUCUUCUUUUGGUGACUCGAAUACGUCUAUAUUCCAUUUCAUGGAUACCGCAGUAAUCCCUCAGACUAAUUUGAAUAACUUUCAAAUAUGUGUGUGUGUGUGUUUUUUUUUAAAUGUUCGUAGUUUAUUGCUGAUUCCUGGUAUCCUAUAUCCCUCCUGAGCCAGUGGAUUUAAGAGAAACCUUACAGUUGAUCCUUCUCUGUCAAGUCUCAUAGCACUUUUGGAAAAGUGUGUAAUUCUGGACACAGUGUGAGAGUUCUGCUCUAUAUUUAGUGUAUUCUUCAAUUUUGGAGACUGUUGAAAUGACAGGUUCAACUUUUGAUGAUUUUACUUUGCAUGCAGAGCAAGAAAUGACUAAAAUCUUUGUACAGAUGUGAUAACCUGCAGACAUCAUUAUCAUCAUUGAUAGAGACGAUCUGGGUCUGUAUCUGUUUAGUGCUUCAAAGAUCUGUGCUUGUGUUUGGAGUGGGCGUGGCCUAUACAGAACAAGCUUUAAAAAAGAUUUCUAUUAUCUGCCCAUCCGAUUUCUGUGCUGUGUAUCCUACACAGGUAACCUGGAGUCUAACCAAAAGGACUCGGGUCACAAGGUGGUUGACAUCCUGGAUGGGUUGCCAGUCCAUUGCAGGGAACAAUCACACACACCCACACACACAAACAGACACACACACUAUAGACAAUUUAGAGAAAGCAAUCAGUCUAUGCAUAUUUUUGGGCUUGGGGAGGAAACCAGAGUAUCUGGAGGAAACCCCCAUCCCUGUAUUAUUAUUAUUAUUAUUAUUAUUAUUAUUAUUAUUAUUAUUAUUAUUAUUAUUAUACGAAUGCUACGACAAUUGCCCAGGAAAAAAACACUGUGAAAAAUCCCUCAUAUUCAGAUAUGUAUUCACGUCUGUUUAGAACGCAUUAACUGUUCAAUAAUAACAUAUCCAUAUUCGGUUCCAUCUCUAAUAGAGAUAAAGGGAAAUGAAUCUUAAAUUAAGUUGCGGUUUAACCUCUGCUAUUAGUAGUUAUGUGUGGCUUUGGAGCAUGAGUCCAAAAGAAGCUUUUUCAUGUUUAGCCAGACUUUUGGCUCCAGCAGCUUCAAAUUGUACAUUUCAUUGGGUUUCUCUCUCUCUCUCUCUCUGUCUCAUAUAGCAAGAAGCUAAUUUAAAUCUCAGCACCAUAAAACAGUGGCUUUACAAGCAACUUUACAUGUUGUUUUUUUGUAAAAGAAACUGAUUCCUUCUCUAACGCUGGAAAGGCUCCUCAUGUUGCUCUAGUCCUCUCUCUUUCUUUUUUUUUUAAGUCUGAUUUCCCUGGUAAAACUGAUGCGUCGCUUGGCCCACUGUGUGUUGUACUGUUGUAUGGUGCUGUGUUCUUUGCCACUCUCCUAUUCCCUUUUCAGAGCAGCACAGCUUUCUUAGUGGCCCCUUAAGUCCCAAUUUUGACUGGAAAACUCUGUGUGUGCCUGGCGCCUUCCUCUGUGGCCCAGCUCCUGCUUGGCUGUCCCCUGAAGAGUGGAACAAAGAGGCUGGAAUUACAGCACGCUGCCGGAGCCUAAUCUCCUAGGACACCUCCAUGCAUGGAAACUAGUGUACACUAGUGCAAGAAAAACAGCACCUUACACUGUAAAACACGACAAACUCUAAUAACCAAGUUUGUGUCUUAAUUCCAUUGAGUUUGGCUUCGUUUUUAAUUCUUAAAAAGUGUGUGAUGACUUCUUAAGCUUUAAAGCAAGUUGUAUGGUGAUAUGCAGUUAUCUGUUUGAUACCGAGACCUUUUAAUAUUACAUGUUGUUUUAAUUGAAUUAUUUAUUAUUGCUUGUAAAAGCACACUCUGUAAUUGAUUGAUGUUGUAUAUUAUUUUAAUUUCAACCUCAUAAAAUGUUUCGAUCCUGAGCAUUUUUUAUUUUUUUUCAUUUUCUCAAAGAAAACAAACAUGUACCAUACCACCAAUGUCAUAACUGUACAAGCUUAGAUUACUCUUCAAAGCACUCUAUGUGUACAAUAUAAUUAAAAGAGACAUGAAUCAGAUUAUUAUGAAGACUUGUUUAAGGGAAAAAAGUGUGAUGGAAUCUAAACAUUUCAGUCUUUCUGUAAGAAUAGCCUUAUUGGUUUCCAACUCUUGUUAAAAGUGGGUAAUUUAUCCUUUAAUAUAAAUCUCAGUUCUUUCAGGUGCAACAUGUUUCCCAGUUCCCUAGCCCACAUCUCAAAAGUGGUGACAGCAUCUGCUUUCCACAUCUGUAAAAUAAGUCUUUAUACAGAAUGAGUUGAUCCUGAGCAUUUUCCUAAAUUACCCAUCACCCAACCCCUACAACAUGUCACAUGAUCACGACAUUCAUGCCCCAGUCACCAUCAUUUGUGUCCUGGUAUUUCAGUGUUUCUUUGUCUAGCUUUACUUUAUUGUUUUUUUGUGAAUAAAAGUUUGCACUUGUCUCAGUCAUACAUCAUUCUAUGACCACU